AUGAUAAAAUUUUUCCUCAUGGUGAAUAAACAAGGGCAGACUCGACUUUUUAAGUACUAUGAACAUGUGGAUAUUAAUAAGCAUACACUUCUGGAAACAGAAGUCAUAAAGAGCUGUCUCUCCUCGAUCCAAUGAACAAUGCUCUUUCAUUGAAUUAUAAGGAUUUUAAGCUGAUAUAUCGGCAGUAUGCAUCUCUCUUCGUUGUGGUUGGAGUUAAUGACACUGAGAACAAGAUGGCUAUUUAUGAAUUCAUUCAUAACUUUGUGGAAGUUUUAGAUGAGUAUUUCAGCUGAGUAAGUGAAUUAGAUAUAAUGUUUAAUUUGGAUAAAGUACACACAAUUUUGGAUGAGAUGGUGUUAAAUGGCUACAUUGUGGAAACUAACAGGGCAAGAAUUCUUGCCCCUCUACUAAUUCUUGAUAAGAUGUCAGAAAGCUGAAAGGAAGUCUCUUCCAGACAACAUGGAUUUAUCAGAAAUGCGAGU
rnacentral:lncRNA from 1 species